UGGGGAAUCUUGCGCAAUGGGCGAAAGCCUGACGCAGCGACGCCGCGUGAGGGAGGAAGGCCUUCGGGUUGUAAACCUCUUUCAGGAGGGACGAAGCUACUCGGGUGAAUAGCCCAGAGGGUGACGGUACCUCCAGAAGAAGCCCCGGCUAACUACGUGCCAGCAGCCGCGGUAAUACGUAGGGGGCAAGCGUUGUCCGGAUUUACUGGGCGUAAAGCGCGUGUAGGCGGCCACACAGGUCCGUUGUGAAAACUGGAGGCUCAACCUCCAGACGUCGACGGAAACCGUAUGGCUAGAGUCCGGAAGAGGAGAGUGGAAUUCCUGGUGUAGCGGUGAAAUGCGCAGAUAUCAGGAAGAACACCAAUGGCGAAGGCAGCUCUCUGGGACGGUACUGACGCUGAGACGCGAAAGCGUGGGGAGCGAACAGGAUUAGAUACCCUGGUAGUCCACGCCGUAAACGAUGGGUGCUAGGUGUGGGAGGUGUCGACUCCUUCCGUGCCGUAGCUAACG
rnacentral:rRNA from 1 species